UACGUAGGCAGCAAGCGUUGUUCGGAUUUACUGGGCGUAAAGGGCGCGUAGGCGGCCACUGCAAGUCAGUUGUGAAAUCUCCGGGCUUAACCCGGAAAGGUCAACUGAUACUGCAGGGCUAGAGUGCAGAAGGGGCAACUGGAAUUCUCGGUGUAGCGGUGAAAUGCGUAGAUAUCGAGAGGAACACCUGCGGCGAAGGCGGGUUGCUGGGCUGACACUGACGCUGAUGCGCGAAAGCUAGGGGAGCGAACGGG
rnacentral:rRNA from 1 species